ACUCCGGAUGCCAGACGCGCUCCGCGGCGGCGGCGGCGGCCGCGCCUGAUUCAUUGCGCCAAAGCUGCAGAUGCGACCUCCCGCCUGCGCCCUGUGCCCCGGCCCGCGCCGGGCUGCGUGCGAGCCUGGGGAGAUGGGGGGUGUGGCAAUUUGUAGGCGCCCCCCCCAAGAGGCGGGACCCGGCCCCCCGGGGGCAGGUCCCCAGUCCCCAGCUCCCCGGGCUGCGCUAAUUAGCUUCCUCGGGGGGCGCCACGCGGUGUGAGGGGCGGCAAUUUCCCGGCUGGGCUGCGGGGGAAGCGCUCCCACCGCCUGGGAAGUGCACCGUCUCCAUGGAAACCGCGGAGGAGGUCACGGUAGCUGGGCCCCCGCGCGUCACCCCGCGCCUCGCCGGCUGCAGGCGCCCGGAUUGCGGCCUCCCAGGCGCCGCGGCCCGCGUGGACUCUACUCCGAGUUCCCCGCCCCCGCUCCACUCAGCCCAGCAGCUCAGGCCAUAUGACUCUGCCGGGACCCAACCGAGAACGGCGCACCUGGGCACCAGCGCGCUAGGCUGUUGUGCCUCUGUCCCCGGGCUCUAGCACGCGGGAAUGCGCCAAGAAACACGUGCCUAGCUCCGAGACGGGAACUUGUGCGGCAAGAACCCGCCGAGGGGCUCACUGCACUCGUGAAUACCCUGGGGGAUCGACCUAUAUAGGCGCACAACUCCAAAGCUCUUGCUGAAAUGAGACCACCCGUGUGAUUAAGAACUCUGGAGUCAGCCAAGUCCCUCCUGGGUAACUUACUAGCUAUGUGACUUCGGGCAAGUCACAACCUCUCGGCGUCUCAGCUUGCUCAUCAGCAAAAUGGAAUUGUGAGCCUUGAGACAAAGUACGUUAAACGCUUAACACUA